rnacentral:piRNA from 1 species
GAGCUUGUCUUGAAAGCUUUCAGGCUCA